GAGUUUGAUCAUGGCUCAGGACGAACGCUGGCGGCGUGCCUAACACAUGCAAGUCGAGCGAGGAAGCCCCUUCGGGGGUGGGAUAGCGGCGGACGGGUGAGUAACACGUGGGUAACCUGCCUCAAAGAGGGGGAUAGCCUCUCGAAAGGGAGAUUAAUACCGCAUAGAAGGUAAAAAUCGCAUGAUAAAUACCUUAAGGAGCAAUCCGCUUUGAGAUGGGCCCGCGUCGCAUUAGCUAGUUGGAGGGAUAAAAGCCCCCCAAGGCGACGAUGCGUAGCCGACCUGAGAGGGUGAACGGCCACAUUGGAACUGAGAUACGGUCCAGACUCCUACGGGAGGCAGCAGUGGGGAAUAUUGCACAAUGGGGGAAACCCUGAUGCAGCAACGCCGCGUGAGUGAAGAAGGUUUUCGGAUCGUAAAGCUCUGUCAUCCGGGACGAUAAUGACGGUACCGGAAGAGGAAGCCACGGCUAACUACGUGCCAGCAGCCGCGGUAAUAC
rnacentral:rRNA from 1 species